GACGAACGCUGGCGGCGUGCUUAACACAUGCAAGUCGAACGGAAAGGCCCUGCUUGCAGGGUGCUCGAGUGGCGAACGGGUGAGUAACACGUGGGUGAUCUGCCCCUUACUUUGGGAUAAGCCUGGGAAACUGGGUCUAAUACUGGAUAGGACCAUGCUGUAGGUGGUGUGGUGGAAAGAUUAGUUUCGGUAAGGGAUGAGCUCGCGGCCUAUCAGCUUGUUGGUGGGGUAAUGGCCUACCAAGGCGUCGACGGGUAGCCGGCCUGAGAGGGUGGACGGCCACAUUGGGACUGAGAUACGGCCCAGACUCCUACGGGAGGCAGCAGUGGGGAAUAUUGCACAAUGGGCGCAAGCCUGAUGCAGCGACGCCGCGUGGGGGAUGACGGCCUUCGGGUUGUAAACUCCUUUCAGUCAUGACGAAGCCCUUGUGGUGACGGUAGUGGUAGAAGAAGCACCGGCUAACUACGUG
rnacentral:rRNA from 1 species